rnacentral:lncRNA from 1 species
GUUUAACAGCUUUCUGACCUUUUGUAGUAUUAUUAUUAUUAUUAUUAUUAUUAUGUGAUAUUGUACUGUUAUUUUUCCCAGCAGAAAAAGUAUAAUUGUUUUGUUUUAUCCCUGUUUUAAUUGGAUGUAGAUUGAGGCGUUCUGGUUUUUUAAUAUCAUAUAUAUUAUAAAUUGUGUUUAUUUAAAAGGCUUUGUGUUAAAGGACACUAGUCUCCUCUAGGGGUCCAGUCAGUGAGCUGAAAACACAGAAUACUGGAGAUACAAAACGUGUUUCUAUACCAUAUGAAAUGUAAGGAUCAGGAUGCAUAUGAAAUGCACUUCCAUAUGAAAUGUAGGAAUAUGACGUGAGCCUGUGUUCUACAUGGCAGAAAUGUACAGUAUAUAACAGCUAUGCUGGUCUGUGAGCUAUCUGUAGCGUUGCAGCCUCCUGAAUAGGUCCUAGCUGUGUCUCCUUGCAAUAGGAGAGCCCAUUGUCUCACGUCAGAUGGUGUCACUCCUACGCGACGCUCGUCCCUCAACCGAGUGCAGACGGCCGUCAGCGCUAUCUGACGUCAGACAAUGUAGGAGAGGCUAGAAAAGCGUAGCUAGAGAGACGGCACACCUAGCUAGGGAGAUGCUACUGCUAGCUAAUUAGCUAGCUAGCUAGAUAUGCUAGCUAAUCUAAAGAAAACCUACAGGAGACCCUUGUAGCCUAACUCUAGCACAGCUAGCUAGAGAGAUGCUAGCUACUUGCUAAUUUAAACAAAGCACUUAAGGUGAUUCCGUUUUCGUCCUCAUGCUAGCUAGCAGUAACCACAUGCUGGCUAGCAUGAGGGCGAAAACGUCUCAGCGGUGUGUCUUAAUCUAAACAAAAGCCCUUUCCAACCAUAUAGCAGAGCGUAUAAGGUUGGAAUCUUCUAGCUUACCUAAAGGUGAUUUGUGUGUCUUUAGCAUGGCUGGCUAACUAGCUAGAGAUGCUAGCUAUAUGCUAACCUAAAUAACUUCUAACGGUAAUCCUUGUGUCUUUAGCACCCUUAUAUAACCCAAACUAAUCCAGUGACAUCCAUAAUAUGGUCCGAUGAUAUUUGUAUUAUAUUAUUUUACAUAUAGCCUAACCCCUGUGUUUUUAGUUCUACAUGUUCUAAGUUCUAAACUUCUCUAUUGUGAGUUUAAAUGAUGUUUUGUCGUUAAUGUGAGCUGUCACACAAGGCGGUCUUGUUGGUGGCUCAUGCCCCACCGGAUGGAUGGUAAGACGUUUGAAUGGAAGGAGAGGGAGACAGAAAUGUAUGGUUGUUUGGCACUGAUGCGAUGAAUCAUUUCAUUUAAAUCAUGAGUAUGUUGUACGUAGGCUGUUCUGUCACAGCCUGGUAAUGAUGUAGGGAGACAGUCACGCUCUAGUCUUCACACCGCCAGACCUGGUUUAAAAUACUAUUGCGACUUAUUAUUAAUUCAAUUGCAACAGGCACAUUCAGUUGAGCACAGUUUAAAAUAUUUGAAAUGAUUUCAAUUAGUAAUUGAACCCAGGUUUUCACAUGACAAACUGAGCGUUUUAAUGUUUGUUUGGACUGUAAUAAUGAGGCUGAACGAUGGAAAGUCACAUCGCUCAUCGAUCAGCCAGGAAACUGCUUUACAACUUAAACUGACCUACUGAAAAACGAUUUGGUUCAUUUUGUCACCUGUGGUUUUAGAUAGAAGUACAUUAUAACUCUCGGACGGAACUCUCCCGGUGUUCUAUUGUGACGGAAGGUUCCUACUGCUGUUAAAGGGAUCAUUUUACCGGUUCUGCAGAGAACGUCAGAAUAUUUUCACCUGGGUGGAGUUGUUUAUUGUUUUCAAAACACUCACUGGUCUUUUUCUUGAUACUGUACUGUCUUGUCUUGUCAUUAUGUAGCACAAUGCAUUUAGUAAUCAGGUUAUUGGUGAGGAUAAUGUCAACAUCAAAUCAACCCAAUCACUGUUUUCAAAUAAAUUACCCAGAAGUCCAUGUGUCUUGUCUCUUGACUCUAAGCAACGCUAAUCAUAGUUAACAGGCUUUGG